rnacentral:rRNA from 1 species
GACGAACGCUGGCGGCGUGCUUAACACAUGCAAGUCGAACGGUGAAGGGACCAGCUUGCUGGUUCUGGAUGAGUGGCGAACGGGUGAGUAACACGUGAGUAACCUGCCCCCUUCUUCUGGAUAACCGCAUGAAAGUGUGGCUAAUACGGGAUAUUCUGGGUCUGUCGCAUGGCGGGCCCGGGAAAGAUAUUGCUUCGGUUGGGGAUGGGCUCGCGGCCUAUCAGCUUGUUGGUGGGGUGAUGGCCUACCAAGGCGGUGACGGGUAGCCGGCCUGAGAGGGUGGACGGUCACACUGGGACUGGGACACGGCCCAGACUCCUACGGGAGGCAGCAGUGGGGAAUAUUGCACAAUGGGCGCAAGCCUGAUGCAGCGACGCCGCGUGAGGGAUGGAGGCCUUCGGGUUGUAAACCUCUUUCGCCAGUGAAGCAGGCCUGCUCCUUGUGGGUGGGUUGACGGUAGCUGGAGAAGAAGCGCCGGCUAACUACGUG